rnacentral:rRNA from 1 species
GAUGAACGCUAGCGGGAGGCCUAACACAUGCAAGCCGAGCGGUAUUUGUUCUUCGGAACAGAGAGAGCGGCGCACGGGUGCGGAACACGUGUGCAACCUGCCUUUAUCUGGGGGAUAGCCUUUCGAAAGGAAGAUUAAUACCCCAUAAUAUAUUGAGUGGCAUCACUUGAUAUUUAAAACUCCGGUGGAUAGAGAUGGGCACGCGCAAGAUUAUAUAGUUGGUGAGGUAACGGCUCACCAAGUCAAUGAUCUUUAGGGGGCCUGAGAGGGUGAUCCCCCACACGGGUACUGAGACACGGACAAGAAUCCUACGGGAGGCAGCAGUGAGGAAUAUUGGACAAUGGGUUAGAGCCUGAUCAAGCCAACCCGCGUGAAGGAAGACGGCACUAGGGGUUGUAAACUUCUUUUGUAUAGGGAAAAAACUACUCUCGUGAGAGUAGCUGAAGGUACUAUACGAAUAAGCACCGGCUAACUCCGUG